rnacentral:rRNA from 1 species
UUAAGCAUAUUAAUAAGCGGAGGAAAAGAAACUAACAAGGAUUCCCUCAGUAACGGCGAGCGAAGUGGGAAUAGCUCAAAUUUAAAAUCUCCAGUGCCUGCACUGGCGAAUUGUAGUCUGUAGGGCCAGUUUCGCCCGAGAUGGUGUCCCCAAAGUCGUCCUGGAAAGGCGGGCCAGAGAGGGUGAGAGCCCCGUGCGUGGGGGCACCGUCGAAGGUAAGAUCUGUGCCCAAAGAGUCGGGUUGUUUGGGAUUGCAGCCCAAAAUGGGUGGUAAACUCCAUCUAAAGCUAAAUAUUGGCACGAGACCGAUAGCGAACAAGUACCGUGAGGGAAAGAUGAAAAGCACUUUGAAAAGAGAGUCAAACAGUACGUGAAACCGUCAGGAGGGAAACGAACGAGGUCGGUGCAGUGAUCACGCAGGUUCAAGCCCUGCCGAAGGCGCCGACGCGAUGACAUAGCUUGUCCCGUGUCGUACGCCGGAGGCAGUGCCGUACUCCUCGUGAGCACGGACCAGCAGCGGUUGAGCCGGAGCCACAAGACCGCAGGGAAGGUGAGUCGAUGAGCACCUGUCGCACAUUGACGGCAUAUAGCCCUGCGGCACGGCGCUCCGGUCCGACCGAGGAAGGAGGGCAGCCCUUGCCCGUCGUGGUACACGCCGUAUGGCGGGGCCUCCCGACACAAGUGAACCAUGCGGUGUGGACUGCAUGCAGUGCACAUCGUGGUGGGGAUCUUGUGGCGGAGAGUGCCACCUGUGUGCCAGUGCUGCUGGUAUUCAGACAGCCUCGUUCGACCCGUCUU